GAGGACUGAUAGUAAGAAUACCAUGACACGCUUACCGUCGUUCAUGAUUAGUGCACUGGUUUGGUCAACAUGGCUGAUUAUUGUUGAUGCGUCAUCGUGUGGCGGCACAUUUAAGUCCAACUAUGGGGAAAUAACAAGUCCAAAUAUACCAUCCAGCUAUGGAUCCAAUCUCUCUUGUGUUUGGAACAUACAGGGCGCCACUGGGAGCAGAGUUGUGAUUGGCUUUAAAUAUUUCUCGCUUCUUAAAAAUCCAACUGAUUGCCGUGAGGA